GUUGCAAAAAAUGGAAAACAUUAUUUGGAGAUACUAUAGCUCGAUUUUUUCUCUCCUCGUUACUUAUAAAGAAAAAUAAAAAAGUCAGAAAAAAAAAUAACAUAUAUUAUAUUAUGGUUUUUUAACGUGAAAUUCAAUGUUUUUAUAAAAAAACAUUAAAACACGUGAAAUUCAAUGUUUUUAUAAAGAAGUUUAGGAGAGAUAGUUAAACCGCGUACGUACUCGCUGUCGUUAACACCCUCCCCCCCCCCCUUUACGCAUUCGUACGUUUCAGGAUAACCCCCCUCCCCCCAUACAUGCGUACGUACUUUAUGGAUGGCCCCUUAAAGCAGAGCGUGUUGAUUUAUCUGCUUUUAGUUUCCGAGAGUUCAAGAUAUCAAAUAAAAUAUCCAUAUUUUUAAUAAAAAAGGCUGUUGCAGAAGCGUAUUCAGUCAAAGCAGUAGCAACUUGACUACUAAAAACUUGUGUUGCCAAUUUUACUCACAUAGCUAAUAGUGAUCCUGGAUCUAAAUGACGAUCUGUCAACUUUGGCACAAGUCGCACAGCAUUAACUUUGUCUAAAUUAUAAAAUUCUUCCAGAUGCUUCCACGAUAUUAUUUUACCAUCAGAUAAAAUGUCAUGUUUUAUUAAAUUGUUUCUAGCAUUUUUUAUAAGAUGUGGUGGAUCAAAUAUUAUAUAAACUUUUGCUUGUGUAGUUGGACGUGAAAUUUGUUGAUUUAAUAAUAAAAAUCCUAAAAAUUUGAGAGCUCUUAUAUUACUCGAGCUUUGAUCACAAACAAGACAUCUUACAGCUAAACCUAUUUUAUGUAGAUGAAUCAUGGCAUUAUUUAUUAUCUUAGCUAAAUUGGUUGAACACAUAGUAGUAUUACUGUAAAAAUAUGCAAUUGGUUGUUUCCAUUUUGUUGAUAAUCCACGGACCAUCAAUACAAGUACUUGGUUUACUGGUUUGCCAUAAGAUUAAAUCAAUGAUCUUAUCAUUGUUUUUGUCAUAAUCAAGAUGUUGCUUUAAAGACAUUUCAUCAAAAACAAGACUACAGUUUCGUUCCAAUUUUUUCAUGGUAUUUACUCGCAUUUUUAGUAAAGCAAUAACCUUAUUGGAAAAACCAGAUUCAAGGGUCCCAAAAGAUUUUUCAAGAAACAUUAAAAUAGUGCUUCUAGAAGUCCAACGUUUUCCCUGUUUGAUAUGAUUAUUCAUACGUAAUUGACUUUCAAAAAAUUGAAGUUGAGUAUUUGUUAAAUAUUUUUUAGACAAAUUAAUAAUAUGUUCUAUUGAACCAUCGCAUUUUUUUAACAUAUCAUGCUUUAUCUUCAGGUUUUUAAGUUUUUUUUUAAGUCAAAAAAUCUUAACUUGAGAUGAUAAAUAUUUAUUUUUAAAAGUAGUUUUGACUGUUACAUUAUUUGUACUGCUAUUCUCAACACUAUUUAUUUUAUUUAAUUUGACUUUAUCGUUGAUUUCUUUUUUUUUGUAUUUUAUCUUGUAAAUGAAGUCUGUUUGUAGGCUGUUUUCUCUUUAAAUUUAAGGUAGAAGGUUGGUUUGGAAAGUUAAAAAUUGUUGGUACAGCAGUUACAAGUGCUCUUUUACUACCAUUAUUGGCAAGAUAGUAUUGUGAAGAAUCAAAAUGUUCACUACAAAUAGUAUAGUUAAGAUUAAGUUCUUCACAUGAUUUUGUAUCGAGAUCUUGACGACGACAAUUACGCACCCAAAGCUUGCAUCUAAAUAAUAGGUUAAACCUAAUUAAUUUAGUGGAAUUAUUUACAUCAUAUUAUGUAUAAAUAUUUUUUGUUUCAUAAAAUUUAAAGUAAAACAAUGUUUUAAAAGUUUCUUUAAAUUCUUGAUAUACUAGUUAUUUAAUAAACUUGAUUUGACUAAUAAUUACUUACCUAUUUUUAUCUUUUGGAAAUCUAAAAAAAGAUAUAUUAUUUCCAACAUUCUUUCCACGCUUGUUAACACAAUGAUGGCUGAGCAAAAAGCUGGCAUAUUUAAUAUUGUAUUUAUAGAAAAAGCAACUUAAUUUUUGAAAAGCAAAAUCUAAUAAUAUUAUAAUAUAUAAUAUAUAUUUAGCAGACAACAAAGAUGUAUAGUAAAUUUAUGUUGUUUAUAAUAUGGUCCCGCAAGACAUCCCAUAAUUCAAUGUACGGGCAAUUACACAUGAAUAUAUGGAUUUUUAGUCGAGUUGGCAGGCUUUGGUCGGAGUCACUAAACAAAAUCGCGACUCCGACCUCAAUAGUAAAACUUCUCCGUAUUGUACGUGCAUGUACAAAACAUUCAAUUAACCUUAUGUUCAUACUAAACCUCAAAGAAUGUUUCAUAAAUUUGUCAAAAAAGAAAUUUUUAACUUAUACCUUAAUAUCUUUUAAAGAAUUUCAAGAAUUUUUCAAAAAUAUUGCUUUGGAGUUGUAAUCGAAGUUGGAGUUGGAAUCGGAGUCGGAGUUGUGCUCAAAAAGUUUCAACAACUGGAGUCGGAGUCAUUACUUUUUUUUUACAACUCCACACCCGGGGUUAUCAGUAACGGUUUGAAUAUUAUUUGUUGUUGUUUAUUUGUCAAAAUUAAAUAAGAAUUUCUGUAAAACUUGAAUGUUUAAUUUAUUUUUAGUGGGUUUACCAAUAACUUGAGUGGAUUAUUUUUUUUAUUAGAUUAAUUUUUAUUAGGUUAAUUUAGUCAAAUUUAUUUUUUAUUAGGUUUCCAAUCUGACUCUUUUGCCUUUGUCUGAUUCUACAGAUAAAGUUUUAGCUUUUUAAAAAAGAUGCAAAAUGUUAUUCUCAAUGAGCUUGCAGAAAUAUAAGUUCUUUUAAAAGAAGUUAUAGAAAUUAAGUUUCAGGCUACUGGGUUGAAGUUGCUAGAAUAAGUGGACGAAGUGGUUACACUGGAUAAUAAACUAAAAGAUAAAACAGAGUAUACUAAUUUGCUUGAUGGUUUGAAAAAGAUUGGUGGCGGAAAGCCAAGAGAACAUGUUUUUUUGAUCAUGAAAAGGUUAUUUUCGAAUCAGUUACAGUCCAAAUUAAAUCGAAAAGGAAAUGGGGAAAAGAUAAACUUAGAAAAUCUAGUAAAUAUACGAAGUGUUUUACGAGAUAUCGGCGACAUGGAAGAAGAUGUUAACGGCAAUGCCGAAAUAUAGUUUCUUAUGUAUAUUUUUGUGACAUAAAAAUAAGUAAUUUUAGUUAAAA